UCUCUUAGUUUUAAAUCCAACAAAUUUGGAAACUAAUUUUACUACACCAUGUUUGCAUGGUAUUUUUGUGCAUGUUCUACCAUCAAGAAAAAUUGAAGGUUAAGAUCACAACCUUCGUAUACAAUUGAUUUUGGCGUAUAUCAUCCAAAAUGCAUAGAAUGAUAAGAAGUUGAAUGGUAUGGGUUCGCAUACAAAAACACAUGCAAACACAUAAGUAUCAUCUUUGAAUGGUAGUUUCAAGGACCCUGAGAAAAUCCUUCCUCAUUUGUUCAUUGUGAUCACACCAUUCAUUCUUUGCCAGCAAAUCAACUGGUUUAUUCUCAUCCUUAAGGAUACCAGAUUUGCAUAGCUAAAAUAGCAGCCCAAGCAACACGCAGUGGGAUCAAACCAGACCUGCUCUUUAUGUUUGAAGGGAUGGCAGAGGAAACUCCAGAUUAACAAUGCACUUGGCGUCUUAGAGUAUGUCUCAGUUGGUAGAAGGACCUCCUGCAUGCGAGGUAACCUAGGUUGGAAUCCUUGGAUAUGUAUAUAUUUAAUCUUAUGAAACUAAAGUUAAUUGGUGCUAACAUGAUAAUUACCAAAAGUAAUUAUCGUAUCAUCAAAACUACGGUCAUAAGCAAUCACAUUCCAUUCUUCAUAAAGUUGGAAUCUCAUGUGCGUGUUGUAUACCAUACUUUGAAAUCCCUGCACAAACUUCCUGGGCACAUCUUUGGGAUAGACUGCUUGAUGAAUGAGAAGGGAGCGUUAUGGAACAACAAGAAUGAAUGGAGUGCUGCAAUUCCUUUCAAGGAUAAUUCUGCAUUUCAUAUGUUUAAACUAUAG
rnacentral:lncRNA from 1 species